UACGUAGGGUGCAAGCGUUGUCCGGAAUUAUUGGGCGUAAAGAGCUCGUAGGCGGUCUGUCGCGUCAGCUGUGAAAACUCGGGGCUCAACUCCGAGCUUGCAGUCGAUACGGGCAGGCUAGAGUUCGGCAGGGGAGACUGGAAUUCCUGGUGUAGCGGUGAAAUGCGCAGAUAUCAGGAGGAACACCGGUGGCGAAGGCGGGUCUCUGGGCCGAUACUGACGCUGAGGAGCGAAAGCGUGGGGAGCGAACAGG
rnacentral:rRNA from 1 species